rnacentral:rRNA from 1 species
GAUGAACGCUGGCGGCGUGCCUAAUACAUGCAAGUCGAGCGAACAGACGAGGAGCUUGCUCCUCUGACGUUAGCGGCGGACGGGUGAGUAACACGUGGAUAACCUACCUAUAAGACUGGGAUAACUUCGGGAAACCGGAGCUAAUACCGGAUAAUAUAUUGAGCCGCAUGGUUCAAUAGUGAAAGACGGUUUUGCUGUCACUUAUAGAUGGAUCCGCGCCGCAUUAGCUAGUUGGUAAGGUAACGGCUUACCAAGGCGACGAUGCGUAGCCGACCUGAGAGGGUGAUCGGCCACACUGGAACUGAGACACGGUCCAGACUCCUACGGGAGGCAGCGGUAGGGAAUCUUCCGCAAAGGGCGAAAGCCUGACGGAGCAACGCCGCGUGAGUGAUGAAGGUCUUCGGAUCGUAAAACUCUGUUAUUAGGGAAGAACAAAUGUGUAAGUAACUAUGCACGUCUUGACGGUACCUAAUCAGAAAGCCACGGCUAACUACGUG